GGGAGCCUCUCGUUUGGUUCUAGAGUGUACAUGUGUAAGGUUUAAUGUGUUAUGACUACCAUCUGGAAUAAUGUGGAUAGGCAUUAUGACUUUGGUUAGGGCACACUCCCCCCACCAUUGCCCAGCUAAUUGGGACCUCAAUUGUUUGUCACCACAUAACUUUGUGUGGUUCAUUAGCAGUGAUACAGGUGGAUUAUGGUAAGUUGAGCA